ACUCAUUCAACUUUGGCUUGGGGAUGCUGGGAGAGGGUGAUUUGAUUACACAUGGAACUUUGUAUGGAGGUAAAACUAAGUAACAGAUUGGCAUUAGGUCACCCAAAUUUGAAGGGCUUGGUCACUGCUCUUUGUUUCAUUAUUUGGCAAGUAUUAGCACUUUCUUGCCCUCUAGGGUGGACUGCUGCUGACCAACAUAUAUAGAAUGUGUCUGUCUCAGAAGAUGGGGCUUCUCAUGGUACCAGCAAAUCCUGUGUGGGUUCAGUAAAGUGCUGCAGUGUGGGAUGGGGACAAUGUGGUUACUACACUGGAUCUGUUUUGAGACAUGCCAACUGUGGGAGCUGCAUGGAGCUGACAAGAUGCCAUAGAUCCAGCAACAACAAUAUAUGCAGCAAUCUCCAGGCAUUCUGAAUGGAAGGCACUUAGCACAGGAGUAUAACUCAAAGUAAUUGUACACUUAUUUCUGGAAGUAUUUUGACAUUUGAAGUCAACUGCAGUGUAAGAGACUAAGCUAACAGAAACAGAACUGUUCUUUUGCAUAUGGUAAGGACUCAUUGUUAAGAAGCAAUCUGGUGCCUGUAAUGCAAUUUUGUGACAGCUCUACACAGCAUUAACACCAGAUACUGUUUGGAUUGUAGGAGCAAGCCGUGUACUCACUCAUGCGUCAGCAAUGGCACAUCACUCUUCCCUUCUCUGGUUGUGACAACAUCACGCUUGAUGCCAAACAGUUUUCCACAACUGUCUUUGGCCAGAAGAUCAAAAAUUUCAUUAUUAUACACUUCUACAACAGAAACC